AACGAACGCUGGCGGCGUGGCUAAGGCAUGCAAGUCGAGCGGAUAUAUCCUGAUCGCAAGUGAUGGAUAUAUUAGCGGGGAACGGGUGAGGAAUGCAUGGACAACGUACCCUGGACUCGGGGAUAGCGGCGGGGGCAACCCCUUUGCGAAAGUGCCGGUAAUACCCGAUGAUCCCGCGGAAUCGCAAGGUUCUGCGGGCAAAGCUCCGACGGUCCGGGAUCGGUUCAUGUCCUAUCAGCUAGUUGGUGGGGUAACGGCCUACCAAGGCGGCGACGGGUAGCGGGCGUGAGAGCGCGACCCGCCACAUCGGAACUGAGACACUGUCCGGACACCUACGGGUGGCUGCAGCAACGAAUAUUCCGCAAUGGGCGCAAGCCUGACGGAGCGACGCCGCGUGCAGGAGGAAGUCCCUCGGGAUGUAAACUGCUGUCGGGGGUGAGGAACAUUGACCAGCCCCAAAGGAAGCACCGGCUAACUCCGUGCCAGCAGCCGCGGUAAUACGGGA
rnacentral:rRNA from 1 species